rnacentral:rRNA from 1 species
GACGGAGGAUGCAAGUGUUAUCCGGAAUCACUGGGCGUAAAGCGUCUGUAGGUGGUCCAAUAAGUCAACUGUUAAAUCUUGGGGCUCAACCUCAAACUCGCAGUCGAAACUAUUAGACUAGAGUAUAGUAGAGGUAAAGGGAAUUUCCAGUGGAGCGGUGAAAUGCGUAGAUAUUGGAAAGAACACCGAUGGCGAAGGCACUUUACUGGGCUAUUACUAACACUCAGAGACGAAAGCUAGGGUAGCAAUUGGG